AGGAGCUGGUAUCAGGCACACCUAUUAAAGCCCAUAACACCUUGCUAAGCCACACCCCUAAGGGAAUUCAGCAGUGAUAGACAUUAAGCCCUGAGUGAAAACUCGACUAAGUUAAAGCUAACAGAACCGGUUAAUCUCGUGCCAGCCACCGCGGUUAUACGAGAGGUUCAAGUUGACACCCACCGGCGUAAAGCGUGGUUAGGUGAACCCCUCCCCCCCCCCCACUAAAGUCGAACGUCCCCCUCGCUGUUAUAUGCCUACGAAGAUAUGAAGCCCAACUACGAAAGUGACUCUACAACACUGAACCCACGAAAGCUAAGGCACAAACUGGGAUUAGAUACCCCAUUAUGCUAAGCCCUAAACCCUGACAGUACUUAACCCAUGCUGUCCGCCCGGGAAUUACGAGCAUGAGCUUGAAACCCAAAGGACUUGGCGGUGCUUUAGAACCACCUAGAGGAGCCUGUCCUAUAAC
rnacentral:rRNA from 1 species